rnacentral:lncRNA from 1 species
UUUUUCUUUCAAAAGGUUUGUACAUGCUCAAGCACAUAAACCUAAACAUGCUUCUCUAGAACGCAACAUGUAAAUCAUGCUCGCAGAAUUCUAAAACAUGCUUAAGAAAACGGCAAACCUACUAGCAUGCUCGUCUAAGCGCAAUUAAUAAACAAAUAUUAAUAAACAAAGACGGGCAAAAGCAGGUAAAGAGCAUAAGGGAUUAACAACCACGACAUGCAAAGAAACAUAAUUAAAGAAUUAAAAUUCUUCGUGACCCAUUCGUGGAAACCCAACAUCUAUUCUAUUACAAAAUAAAAUAAAUAAAAAUGGACAAAAAAAGCCCAAAAAAAAUGCCUAAAAAGGCUGAAAAAAGAACCAGCCCUUGCUUGGGCCCAAAAAACGCGGCCCAGCCGCCCAGGCCCGUCCAGCAACGGCCCAGAUUCGCAAGGAGAAGCCCAGGCCCGCAAGGAGCAGCCCAGAC